rnacentral:rRNA from 1 species
ACUGGCGGACGGGUGAGUAACGCGUGACAAUCUGCCUUCAGGUUCGGGACAACCACUGGAAACGGUGGCUAAUACCGAAUGUGCAGCAAUGUGAAAUAUUUAUAGCCUGAAGAUGAGCUCGCGUCUGAUUAGCUAGUAGGUGUGGUAAUAGCGCACCUAGGCGACGAUCAGUAGCUGGUCUGAGAGGAUGAUCAGCCACACUGGGACUGAGACACGGCCCAAACUCCUACUGGAGGCAGCAGUGGGGAAUUUUCCGCAAUGGGCGAAAGCCUGACGGAGCAAUACCGCGUGAGGGAGGAAGGCUCUUGGGUUGUAAACCUCUUUUCUCAGGGAAAAAAAAAAUGACGGUACCUGAGGAAUAAGCAUCGGCUAACUCCGUGCCUGCAGCCGCGGUAAUACGGAGGAUGCAAGCGUUAUCCGGAAUGAUUGGGCGUAAAGCGUCCGCAGGUGGCUAUGUAAGUCUGCUGUUAAAGAGUCUGGCUCAACCAGAUAAAGGCAGUGGAAACUACAUGGCUAGAGUGCGUUCGGGGCAGAGGGAAUUCCUGGUGUAGCGGUGAAAUGCGUAGAGAUCAAGAAGAACACCGGUGGCGAAAGCGCUCUGCUAGGCCUCAACUGACACUGAGGGACGAAAGCUACGGGAGCGAAUGGGAUUAGAUACCCCAGUAGUCCUAGCCGUAAACGAUAGAUACUAGGCGUGGCUUGUAUCGACCCGAGCCGUGCCGUAACUAACGCGUUAAGUAUCCCGCCUGGGGAGUACGCAGGCAACUGUGAAACUCAAAGGAAUUGACGGGGGCCCGCACGAGCGGUGGAGUAUGUGGUUUAAUUCGAUGCGACGCGAAGAACCUUA